rnacentral:lncRNA from 1 species
AUGUUCAUCUUCACCGUUAACUUCCCACAUGGUUUUUCUCUGCUAUACAAAGAAGAGCUGAAGGAGGGUCACCAGAGGCCACCACACCCUGGUGGCUCCUACUGCAGGCACCUCCGUGUUUGGGAAAUCUCACAGCUACACAGACUGGCGGGGAAAAGUGAGUUCCUAGCUGCUGGGGCAGCUCAGAAACACCAGAGAAUUUUGAUCUGGGACACAGAAAAGGCAAAGUUUGCCUGGCUUUGCCUUCCCAAGCAGCUGAUCUGGAAUGAACUGGAAAGCCCACAUGCACGGUUCUCCCCUUUGGCCUGCGCGCAUGGGCCUGCUGCCGUGUGAAGCGGGAUAGGGGGAGGUGGAAACGCAGCGGUGAUUUCCCCUGGUUCUGUUUGUGAUUCCAGCUGUGCUUACUUCUCUUUCUGACGGUUGGAGGGAACUGUGACUUAUUUGUUCUAUCAAGAACACGUUGUUCCUCUUCCUACUUCACCUGUCAUUGGAUUGCUACAGGGUAGCACUUUAAACAUUGGUGGAACAAAGGGGACACCUUAAUUUAAGUGUAAAAGAAUGCUUUCUUUCUACCUAACAAGUGAUAGCUAGCUAGUAGAAUCAUUUCUUUGCACCUCCCAGCUGUGUGAAUCAUGAUUAUUCAUCUGAGAAGGAGACUUUGAUCCCUCUGCAUGUACUUACCAGUUAUUUAACUGAUACACUCCUGCAUGGACUCAUGCUGAUAUGACUUAACUUCCUUCAGCUCCUGCAAUCAUGAUUCCAAAUUCCUAAAAACACUGCUGUACUGCUGGCAAGACACCUUUGCUUUGGUUGCAAAGGAAACAUGUUCUGUAGCACGGGCAGAAAGAGCUUUGCUUAGGGACAGUCUGAUCCCAGCUGUAACAGGAUAUAUCUGGGAUCUGGUAGUGAAAUACCAUUGUUAGGUAUCAGGGGACCGCCCUGCUCAGCUGCCCAUGAAGUCAGGAUGUCCUUAAGGACAGCAAGAAUGAGGACUUUUUUUUUUAGGACUAUAUUAAGUGUCUUCAAAAAUAGAAACUUCACAUCAAGGCUCAUCAUGCCUUGACACGUGUUUCCUCCUAUGUCCCUUUGUGCCCUCUUUUGUUUUGUGUUUUGGGUUUUUUUAGUGUUUUUUAAUGUUUUCCUUUAGUAGAAAAUCACUCUUUUGCUUAUAUUUAAAAAAAAAAAAAAGAAG